rnacentral:rRNA from 1 species
CAGCAGCCACGGUAAUACAGAGGGUGCGAGCGUUAAUCGGAUUUACUGGGCGUAAAGCGUGCGUAGGCGGCUUCUUAAGUCGGAUGUGAAAUCCCUGAGCUUAACUUAGGAAUUGCAUUCGAUACUGGGAAGCUAGAGUAUGGGAGAGGAUGGUAGAAUUCCAGGUGUAGAGGUGAAAUGCGUAGAGAUCUGGAGGAAUACCGAUGGCGAAGGCAGCCAUCUGGCCUAAUACUGACGCUGAGGUACGAAAGCAUGGGGAGCAAACAGGAUUAGAUACCCCUGUAGUCCCUGUCUCUUAUAC